UACGUAGGGUGCAAGCGUUGCCCGGAUUUAUUGGGCGUAAAGGGCGCGUAGGCGGCUCUGCACGUCCGUUGUGAAAUCGCCCGGCUCAACUGGGCGGGGUCAGCGGAUACGGCAGAGCUUGAGCAAGCUAGGGGGCAAUGGAAUUCCCGGUGUAGUGGUGGAAUGCGUAGAUAUCGGGAGGAACACCAGUGGCGAAGGCGGCUCUCUGGGACGGUACUGACGCUGAGACGCGAAAGCGUGGGGAGCGAACAGG
rnacentral:rRNA from 1 species